rnacentral:misc_RNA from 1 species
GAAAUGCGAUAAGUAAUGUGAAUUGCAGAAUUCAGUGAAUCAUCGAAUCUUUGAACGCACAUUGCGCCCGCCAGUAUUCUGGCGGGCAUGCCUGUCCGAGCGUCAUUUCAACCAUCAAGCCCCCGGGCUUGUGUUGGGGACCUGCGGCUGCCCGCAGGCCCUGAAAACCAGUGGCGGGCUCGCUGUCACACCGAGCGUAGUAGCAAUCACCUCUCUCAGGGCGUGCUGCGGGUUCCGGCCGUUAAACAGCCUUACAAAACCCAAGGUUGACCUCGGAUCAGGUAGGAAGACCCGCUGAACUUAAGC